rnacentral:rRNA from 1 species
CGGAGGGAGCUAGCGUUGUUCGGAAUUACUGGGCGUAAAGCGCACGUAGGCGGCUUUUUAAGUCAGGGGUGAAAUCCCGGGGCUCAACCCCGGAACUGCCCUUGAAACUGGAGAGCUAGAAUCUUGGAGAGGCGAGUGGAAUUCCGAGUGUAGAGGUGAAAUUCGUAGAUAUUCGCAAGAACACCAGUGGCGAAGGCGGCUCACUGGCCCGGAACUGACGCUGAGGUGCGAAAGCGUGGGGAGCAAACAGG